UACGAAGGGGGCGAGCGUUGUUCGGAAUUAUUGGGCGUAAAGAGCUCGUAGGCGGUUUGUCACGUCUGCUGUGAAAUCCCGAGGCUCAACCUCGGGCCUGCAGUGGGUACGGGCAGACUGGAGUGCGGUAGGGGAGAAUGGAAUUCCUGGUGUAGCGGUGGAAUGCGCAGAUAUCAGGAGGAACACCGGUGGCGAAGGCGGGUCUCUGGGCCGAAACUGACGCUGAGGAGCGAAAGCGUGGGGAGCAAACAGG
rnacentral:rRNA from 1 species